GCCGGCCGAGCUGCAGACCCGCUGCUGGCCGCUGCGUCCGGGCGGCUGCUGCAGCUGCGGAGCCUGCCGAGGCGGACGCGGUGGAGCGCAGAGCGCGCCUCGGACUCCCUCGCCAGGGCCAUCGAGCGGUUUGUGCCAACUGCGUAGUGACCCCAGCCUGGUGUGCGGGGAGUGGUGGCCCUCGGCUUCCCUCCCCCGACCCGCUGACUCGUGAAGUUCAAGUUGCCUCUGCGCCUAGUGCCCCGAAGGCCUUAGGAUAAUCUGUUUCACGGUAACGUUGGGAACAAACUCAGGGGGACUAAGAAAUGUCAGGGGUCAAACCCCUCAGCGCUGGACAGAAGCCCUGAACCUGUGGAAUGAGAAAGGGUAAAUGCCUCUACCAACCCAGUGAAUGUCUGCCAAGACCAGGAGGAACUGAAUCCCCUUUACUCUAGGAAGGAUUAGACCUAAAAUAUUCCCUGAAAGUCUCAUGGAUUCAGAAUAGGGCUUUUGGAAAGUGACUGAUCAUGGGCCUGGGCAGAAGACACCUCCCUGAGGGCAAUCUGGAAGGACUCACGCACAUCCCUGCUCCUCCCUUUAAUUUCUGCUUCCUGGAUGCUAUCUGGUGAGUGGCUUUCCCCUGUCACGCCUUUCCUCCAUGAUAUUUCUGCCUUGAAGUUGGUUGACCAUAAAAAAAAAACUUGGAGACUUCUGAAACUAUAAACCAAAGCCAACUGUCCUCUUUUAAACUGUGGGUGUUGGGUAUUUUGCCCCAACAACAGAUGGUAAUACACCCUCCAUAACUCUGCAGGAAAUGGGUGCAUUGUGAAGGGAAAUUGCCCAGCUGCUUCUUGGCUGAGCACUGAAUUGACUGAGGCCUGCUUUCUUUGUCAGUCAUGACCAGGCUUCUCCAGGUCUGCGGACAAGGAGUGACAGUGAGAGCAGGUCUAGGUCUGCAUCUGGCUUUAAGGGAUUGUAAUGUCAUCCAGCAGAAUGGGGCCCAGUGAAUGUUUAUCAGGUUACCUUAGUCAUUUUUCCUGCUCUGUGGAAGUUAAAAAAUAUGCUCAAAAAUCCAUAUGUUCAAAUCCUAACCCCCAGUUAGGACUCUGAAAUGUGCAUGUAUUUGGAAAUAGGGUCAUUCUAGACCCUAUUAUUUAUUUACUUAUUUAGUUAGUUAUUUAUUUAGUUGGUUUGGAUGAGGUCAUACUAGAGUAAGAGGCUCUGGAAUAAGUAUGACUAGUAUUCUUUGAAAAGGUAAAAUAAGCAUGUGCACAAGGAGAACUGUAGGUGAAGAUGAAGACAAAGGAAAGGUGAUUCCAAAAACCAAGGAACAUCAAAGAUUGCCGGCAAAUGCCAAAAAACUAGGUAAGAUGCAGUGUUAUGGACUGAAUGUGUUCCUGCCAAAUCAUGUUGAAAUUCCAACCUCCAAUGUGAUGGCAUUGGAAGGUAGAAUACUUGAGAGGUAAUUAAAUCAUGAAGGUGGAGUCUUUGUGAAUGGAUCUGUGCCCUCAUGAAAGGAACAGCAGAGAACUCUUCCUCUCUCUAUCAUGUAAGAAUAUAAGAAGCUGGCAGUCUGCAACACAGAAAGAAGGCCCUCACUAGAACUGGAUUAUGCUGACAUCUUGAUCUUACACUUUAACUCUUUAGAACUGAAAAAUAAAAUUUCACUAUUUAUAUACCACCAAGCCAUGGUGUUUUGUUAUAGCAGACUGAAAGCCUAAGCAAACUGUCUUGAGACAGGCAUGGAGCAGUUUCUCCCUCAAGCCUUCGGUGGAAGCAGCCUUCUGACACUCUGAUCUCCGAAGCCUCCCCUCUAGAAUGGUAAGACAAUAAAUUUCUGUUGUUUAAAUCACUAAGUUUAUGGUAGUUGGUCACAGCUGCCCUCAAAAAUGAAUGCGGAAUGCCCAAGCACUUGAUACACAAAGCAUAAGCUUGGAAAAGAUUUAAAAUAUAGCUUCAUCUCAUGAUAUUAUUUAUCAGUUCGCUAAUUCAUUUUAUAAUACACAUUCACCUAGAAUUAAUAGUUUUAGUAACUAGUAGUAUUUACAGUAAAACCAACAAUUAUUUAUCCAGGACAGCAUCUGCUUGAGUCUCUUUCUAGUUUUAUGGUUCUGUGAUUUUAUCAACAAACUGUGUGUCAAAGCUAAUUGCCUCAUGAUAAUCCAGAUUAAAAUCAUAUUUCCAUUAAUACUGAGGAUUUACCUAAAAGGCUUAAGGGAUUAUCUGCAGCAAAAAUUGAGGAGUAAAUCAGUAACUUCCAUUAGGCUGCAGUUGAUUUUAAAAAUAAACAAAAAUUAUAAACUUGCAUUUUAUUAUCAGUAACAUGUUUUAAUCAUGUACUCUUUGCAAUUCACCAUAUAAAGUGCUAUAGAAAUAUAGAGACAAGUGAUUAUGCUGCAGCCCCAUAGGUCUUCCAAUGUACUUAGAAAUGGAGCGCGAAUAAGUGGAAAUAAAUAACACAAGUUAGACUGCUCAUAAAAAAUACUUAUCUAAAACAGUGUAAAUAUUCAGUCUUACGAAUAAAGAAAUCAGUGUUCCACUCUAUCAUAUAAACGCAUCUUUGGGUAUUUCUCCUUUGAGUAAUCUCUCUGAUUCAGUUAGAGCAAGGUAGAUUGUGGCUAUUUCUUGCAUUAUUUUCUGUUGGAUGAUUCUCCUUUCCUUCACUUAGCAGGGAAGAAUUGCAAUAGUGAGGUCCUGGGAGUGAGGCUUCUCAGUUGUCAUUCCGUGGUUCUAAAUGAAGGAGACCGUGGUAAGGUGCACAGAACAUAGUGGGAAAAUCAAUAGUGAAAAUGGUAUAGGCACAUAGGUAAAUUAUUUCUUUGUUCAAAAUAUAGACUUCAUUCCCAGGGUGAGAGUCUGCUGCCACAGAACUAGAAGUGGCAUGUUAGAGUAGAGCUCCAGUUAAGGAUACUGGCUCAUACCCAAACAAAGUAUAGCUUGUCUAUGAAGACCUGGUACAUAUUUCUCAUCCUCUUUCUGCUAGUUCUUCUUUCCUGCCUGUCAUUUGUGGAAAAACGUAAAGUUAAAGUCUUCCACUUGAAAACUCUUAAAUAUCUUAAUUCUGCAAUUCCAGCAGACCAUCACUAUUGACAUUUUAUUUUUCAGUCUUUAAUGCAUCCAAAUCAUAAUUUUUGAACACAAAAAACACACACUUCCCAACUCUUCUGCGUGUGCUAGUAUCCCGUCACUAAUUCUGUCUGUUGUUUAUUAGUUACUUCCCAAAUACUAGACUAAAAACAAUUACCAUAGCAGGAUGGAAAAACAACUACCACGGUAGGAAAGAGCACUGGAUUCUAAUGCUAAGCCUAUCCCUAAAUAUGGGUAGUUAAGACACCCCUGUCCCUCCUGGGUGUGUUUCUGCCUGGCUUGUUCAUCAUAGGGCGGCCUCAGUUACACAGUGACCCAGCACAACAUGAUCAGGGCAGCAGAUUUGUUUUCUCUAAAACAGUGAGAUAAGAUGGGUUGCAAAGCAUAGCCCAGAACUAAAAUCAAGACCACUUAUACAACACUGUUGAAUCUAAAAACUAAGCCAAUAAAGCCAGAAACAGAGGUCCAAAAAUAAGUCUUCAUCACACACAUGAAAUCAUAGGGCACAGCUGUUGCAGUUAAUUUCAGCAGUUGACAGGAACAUUUUCACGGUGUGCCAUCUCUGUCUGUAUUGUCCUCACCUCUAUGCAGUUUUGGUAGAGACAGCUAAUUUUCCAUUUCUACCAAAGGAUAUACCCAUGACCUAAGCCACAUCAAUUAGUAUUUAUCUUGCUUGGGAAUUUAAUUUUGGGCCAGAUUUAAAAAAAAAAAUCUAGCAGCAGAAGCCAGCCAGAUUUGAGUCCUUUCCUGUUGCUGAGAUCCCCAGAGCUGCCCUUGUCUCCUAAGAGAUUACUGCAAAAUCAUGUAGUCAGGAAGUGUGAAAACCAACAGUUGGGUGUAGGUCUCUCUGGGGCCAUUCUGUUUGUGAUGACUGUAAUAUUCAGACCAUGGCUGCUAAGGAAACAGGGAGAGUAACAGCCCUGCAGGUAGGCAGACCGCCCUAGCUCCGGAGUUUCUGAGGUGGGUGCAUCCGCCGAGAUAAAUAGCUCUUGUUGCAACUUGGCUUUUCCGAUGUUUCUGAAGGCCUUCUGGAAUCCCCUGUUUCACAUUCCCUAGUUUUCUAAUCUUUCAAAUGAAAAUUAAUUCUUGGGUUUUGUUUGUUUUAUAUAUUUUUUCACAUUUUUUCCCACUAGUCAAAUUUUCAAUGAUAGUUUCUAUAGUCAAGAAAAAGAGGAAUUAUGGUAUUGAUUAAAUAGCUCCAGAGGGCUAAAAUUACUUCAUUGAAUCAGACCAAAAUCACUAUGAUAAGACACCUUUUAGUUCUAUAAAAAGCAAGUCUAUAAGAAUGUGGAGGGACAGAUAUAUUAUGAAAACUGUCCAAUGCAGGGAAAACUGGAAUGAGAAAGAAUAUAGCCCAGUUACAAAAGGAAUGGGAAGUAAAGGAACAUGUUAAAUACUGGAAAUGCAGCGGGCCAUUUAUAGAAAACUAUUUUAGAUCCCUAUGAAAUAGUUUUAGUUUGUUUGUUUGUUUGUUUUCCGAGAAGUCAGGCUAAGUAACUCAGGUUUUCUGCCUCAGUUUCCCAAGUGCUGGGAUUACAGACAUCCAUCACUAUGCCCACUCCAUUGGGCCAUUUUAAUCAUUAUCUUGUAUAUAUUUAAUUGGUCUUGUUGCUGUUAUACCUAGUGACUUAUCUGGGCCCUAUUUUAGUCUGUUCUGUCUAACUAUCAGUAACAUGCUAUGAAGCUUUACAUUAUCUUCUAAUGCCUUACAAGUUUUUAGUAAUUUUUAGAAAAUUUAUUGGUUAUUUAAAAAAUCUUUUCUCUCAGAUGAAUUUUAGUUUCAACCUAAUUUUCUUUUAAGUGUAUAGAAUAUAUGGAUUAAUUCCUGGAAAAAACUGACAUUUUUUUACACUAUUGAAACUUUAUAUCACAAGGAACUCACUAUGUCUAGCCAUAUGUGUGUUUCUUUAUGUUCUUUCAUAGAUUUUAUGGUUUGAGCUUUGCACUUUUUAGAAAAUUUACUUCUAGAUGUGUAGUAGUUUUUGUGCUAUCAUCAAUGAUAUUUUUGGCCAUUAUAUUAUACAACUUCGAUAAGGGGCAGCUAGCUAUUUGGCUGUGUUACUGAAUUCAUUUAUUACAUCUAACAGUUUUUUGAAUGAUCCUUUCAUUAGUUUACAGAGAUAGAUGCACUGAUUUUGCAAAUGAACAAGUAAUAUAAUAUUUAUAAUUCUUAUUUUCCUUGUUUAUUAGCUAGGACCUUCAAUCUUGAAUAUAACCAAUUAUGGAGGAUAUUGGGUUUAUUGGGCUUGUGAUAAUGUUCCAUUACUCGAUAUAAUAAUCAAAUGUUAUUUUGUAAAUUAAAUUAUAACCUUUAUCAAGUAAAAAAAGUUUCCUUUACUUCCCAGCUGGCUAAAUUUAUUAGUGAUAAUAGGUUGAAUUUGGUUAAACAAAACAUACACUAUACUGGGAGUCAUUUGAAAUGACUAUAUAGUAUUAACAGGGCUACACUAAUUUCAGGAGUGUGUAGGCUCUCAGGGUUCUUGGCAAAAUUUAGUUCCUUAUGGUCAUAGUACUGUGAUACCUGUUUCUUGCUGGCUGUCCCUUAUGGGUUCCUGUUACUUCCUAAAGUCACUAG